UAGCGUGAUUAUCACACGGUCGUGACCAGGUCCACGGUUUAUAUAUGUUUUUCAAAACCUGCCCAAAUGCUUAUUCUUUGUUCAAUAUUUGCAAAAUUUUGCAUAUCAAAUUCUCAAAGAUAGCUUUUGUAAAUUACAUAAUUUGAUUUUGAUUUUAUAUUCCUGAAAUUUAAAUAUAUUGAUUUGAAUAUGCCCAAUUUGACGUAUUUUACCGGCUUUUAUGGUGCUUCAGAAAAAACUUGCAGAACACAGUAACUUAUCUUUUUCACGAAUCAGAUUGUCUUAAAACUUGCUAGAGGUGUUAAAUAUUGUGCAUGGGACUGUUGUUUGUGAAUAGCUACUCAAAAUAAUAAGAUUUACACGCUCUGAAAAUCACCUUUUUGUCUAAAAAUUUACGAAAAACAUGGCCGCGGUGCGCAAAUAAUGAGUUGGUUAUUUCAAAAAUGUCCUAUUAUUUUUCAGUAAAACUUCUUGUUAAUUUAAGACUCUAAUAACUUGCUUGACAUACCCAUAGGCAAAUAUCUGUUAUCGGUGUAAUUACACCUUUGGAGAAAAGCGUGAUUCGCACGUUUUAAUUUCAUCAUUCGCCGCCUGAAGAGACAAGAUGGUGGAGCUUGCGAAAUCGAAAUAAAUAAUAAUUAAAGACACUGAUUCUGGUGUGCCUGGUAUGUGGCCUAUGGGGAUGAUAAGGUCUGGUAUUGGAGAUUGGUACUUGAAAGUCAAUGGUUGAUCAUGAUGACCAUCUUUAAUUUAAUGGGGAAAGAUUAACCAAUAUUUGCAGCUGGAGAGGCUAUCACCACAGUUCAAUGACUUAGUUAAGACAAUGAAAUAGAAGAACUUCAUGCUAACACUUGCAUCAGUGGAAGUACUUCUUAUUGGAUAGAGAACUUUACAAGGUCAGCCAUCAGCUUUUGAAGUUGCUUUCUUGGCACAUCAUGCUGUCCAGUGGAGUUCAUACCAUAUGCCAGGCCUUUAUACAUGGUCAAAGAAGAUGAAUUUGUUAUUCAAUUUGUGAAAUUUGAUUUAAGGAGGACUUUCAUAUAUGAUGAUUAUAUUCAGCAGAUUAUCUUCAAGUGUGCACUUCAUAGAAUCACAGUUUCUAGGAGGUUUUCAGUUUAAAGUCAGAUUAAUUGAAAAAUAAGUAAACCUAUCAUACUCACCAUGGCAUCGGCAUUGGCAUUACACCAGUUUUAAGUUUUUCUUACCAGUCCAUAUUUUAAAAGGACCUUUUGAAAGUAUUGAAACUUACAACAGUAAUUUAUCAUCAUUAUACCAUGUUUUAGGCAAAAGUACAUAACUCCAUCAAGGAUUUGACUGAACUAUGGCCCUUUGAAACUUUUGUCACUUGUUUAUAAUAAUAGUCUCUAUAGGCAAGAGUUAAUAACACUAUAGGGUAAUUUGGUUGAAUUAUGUCCCU